GUAUAAUAUAACAGAAAUGAUGAAAUCUGAUUCUCUCUACAGUUACAAAAAGCGGUAGGUCCAGAAAUAACAAAACAAGACCUGGUACCUGCCUUCCAGAGUUUACUCAAGGAUUGUGAAGCUGAAGUCAGGGCAGCAUCUGCUCAUAAAAUUAAAGAAUUUUGUCAGAACUUGUCAGCAGACUGCAGGGAGCAGGUGAUCAUGACAAACAUCCUACCUUGUGUAAGAGAUCUGGUCUCUGACGCUAAUCAGCAUGUAAAGUCUGCCCUCGCCUCUGUCAUAAUGGGCCUGUCACCAAUACUCGGCAAAGACAACACAAUAGAACAUCUGUUGCCACUGUUCUUGACUCAGCUGAAAGAUGAAUGUCCGGAGGUCAGGUUAAAUAUCAUCUCUAAUCUGGACUGUGUUAAUGAGGUAAUUUGUCCGAUAUUUGGCACUUUGUUUUGUGUGACAUUAUCU